rnacentral:rRNA from 1 species
AACAUGACUCUCAGCAACGGAUAUCUUGGCUCUUUCCAUGAUGAAGAAUGUAGUAAAAUGUGAUACUUAGUGUGAAUUGUAGAAUCUCUUGAAUCACCGAGUCUUUGAACUCAAGUUGCAACCGAGUCCUUGAUCAAGGGCACUUUUGCUUUGGGGUCAUAC